GCUGGCGGCGUGCUUAACACAUGCAAGUCGAGUGCGCGCCUGUAGCAAUACAGGUGGCGCACGGCGCACGGGUGCGUAACACGUGGGUAAUCUGCCCUUCGAUGGGGAAUAACUCGCCGAAAGGCGAGCUAAUUCCGCAUAACAUUCCGAGGACUUUGGUUCUUGGAUUCAAAGGCGUAAGUCGUCGGAGGAGGAGCCCGCGCACGAUUAGCUAGUUGGUGAGGUAAUGGCUCACCAAGGCUAUGAUCGUUAGCUGGUCUGAGAGGAUGGCCAGCCACACUGGAACUGAGACACGGUCCAGACUCCUACGGGAGGCAGCAGUGGGGAAUCUUGCACAAUGGGCGAAAGCCUGAUGCAGCGACGCCGCGUGGGGGAUGAAGCUUUUCGGAGUGUAAACCCCUUUCGACCCGGACGAAUGCCUCGCAAGAGGACUGACGGUACGGGUAUAAGAAGCCCCGGCUAACUACGUGCCAGCAGCCGCGGUAAGACGUAGGGGGCCAGCGUUGCUCGGAAUUACUGGGUGUAAAGGGUUCGUAGGCGGUGUGGCA
rnacentral:rRNA from 1 species